rnacentral:rRNA from 1 species
UACGGAGGGUGCAAGCGUUAAUCGGAAUUACUGGGCGUAAAGCGUGCGCAGGCGGUUUGUUAAGUCCGUUGUGAAAGCCCCGAGCUCAACUUGGGAAUUGCAGUGGAUACUGGCAGGCUGGAGUACGGUAGAGGAAGGUGGAAUUCCCGGUGUAGCAGUGAAAUGCGUAGAUAUCGGGAGGAACACCAGUGGCGAAGGCGGCCUUCUGGACCAGUACUGACGCUCACGCACGAAAGCGUGGGGAGCAAACAGG